ACCAAUUAAAACUAUAAUGAGAUACCGUCUCACACCUGUUAAAAUGGCUAUUACAAGAAAAAGAAUAACAAAUGUUGGAGAGGAUACAGAUAAAAGGAAACUCUUGUACACUGUGGGAAUGUAAACAAGCACAGAUAUUACAGAAAAUAGUAAGGAGGUUUCUCUGGAAAUUUAAAAUAGAAUUACCAUAUGACCCAAUAAUCCUACUUCUGGGUAUAUGUCAAAAGGAAAUUAAAUCAGUAUGUUGAGUUGAUACCUGCACUCUCAUGUUGAUACUCAUUUACAGUGGCCAAAGUAUGCAAUCAAACUGACCAUUGACAGAUGAAUGGAUAAGGAAAAUGUAGUGUGUGUAGGUAUGGAUGUCAGUUAGGAGGAAUAAGUUCUGGAGAUGGUCAGCAUAGUGACUGUAGUUAAUAAUAACAUACCGUGUUGAGUCCCUGACUUAUGAUGGCUCAACUUACAAUUUUUCAACUUUAAGGUGAGUUUAUUGAGACAUAAUUGAAUGCAUUUCUUUUUGUUUUGUUUUGUUUUGUUUUGAGAUGGAGUCUUGCUUUGUUGCCCAGGCUGGAGUGCAGUGGUGCGAUCUUGGCUCCCUGCAACCUCUACCUCCCAGGUUCGAGCAAUCCUCCUGCCUCAGCCUCCCCAGUAGCUGGGAUUACAGACACCUGCCACCACACCUGGCUAUUUUUUGUAUUUUUAGUAGAGGCGGGGUUUCGCCAUGUUGUCCAGGCUGGUCUUGAACUCCUGACCUUAGGUGAUCCAUCUGCCUCAGCCUCCCAAAGUGAUGGGAAUACAGGUGUGAGCCACUGCACCUGGCCAAUUCAAUGCAUUUCGACUUAUGAUAUUUUCAAUGUUGUUACCAUAAAAAAUGUUAAAUGUUCCCACCAUAGAAAAAGUAUAUGAGAUGAUGGAUAUGUUAAUUAGCAUGGUUUAAUCUUAUACAAUGUGUACAUAUAGGACAGCAUUGUGUUAAUAUAUAAAUAUGUACACCAUAAAUAUGUAAUAUUUUUGUCAUUUGAAUCUUAAUAAAGCUAAAAAAGAUUUUUAAAAAGCGUAAGUCCCAAUGUUAAGCUUCCUUAGACAAAUCUAAACACUGCAAAUAUUAUUUCUAAAAGUUUUUUUUAUAGAAUUGAUAUCAUUAACUUUUUUUAACACUGCCAUCUUUUAUUUUAGAUUUACAGGGUAUGUAUGCAGGCUUGUUACAUGUGUAUAUUCCAUGAUACUGAAGUUUGGGGUCUGAUUGAUCCCAUUGUCCAGAACUAAUGUCUUCAAGGAUGCACAUCAAAAAAAGAAGAGACCCAGGAUAUGAAGCUUUAAAUGUGGACUGCUUUAUUUUAGGUACAAAUGCCAGUGGAAACUUUCCAUUUUUAUAAUAAUCAUUAUUGUUUUGUUAGGGCUCAGAUUUAAAAGUUCCUUAGGUAUUGUGUGGUCUGGCACUAUCUUCACAAUAAGUCUAACUAUUUUUAUUUUGCAGAACAUGAGGUUAUACAGAAGUGCAUAUAUUGUGUUAGAGCAGGAAUGCCUGUACUUGAUUCUGGCUUAGUGGUAGUCAUUUUUUUGAUUAAUAAAGGUAGUUUUAAUUUUUAUCCUAUUUCUUUUCAGGGCCCAUUAUAGUGUUUCGCAGGCCCAUUACUAACUCAUUUGUGUGCAUUAGGAAAAGAUUUUCCUUCCACUGAGCAGAUGUAGGUUUGUAAUUGCAGGGUUUGGAGUACAGAACUCUUGCUGGAUUUUACUUGCAUCUUCAUCCAGGCCCGUGUACAGUUCAGUUUGAAAACAUUACAUGGUUGCCUGGCUUCCUGAACAAAAGUGAGACAUGCACACACAUACACACAAUGCUUAUUGAACAGUGAAAUUGUUUCUUUAGCAAAUAAAUGUUUUGAUUAGUUUAACAUUUAUUUACAGUAUUUCCCUUUUAAAAAUAUGUCCUUAUUUGUCAAUGUUUGAUGUUACACAAAGAUUUUACAAACAUAUUUAAGACUAUUUUACAGGCUAUAACUUUGAAAAUUCUUUCCAUACAAGAGAAGAGGCGUGGUAGCGAUAGAAUGCAUAAAUAUUUCCCAAUCUCUCCUUUUUUUUCUUUUUUUUCUUUGAGGGGUGGGAGGAUAGAUAAUAAGAGAAGAAGACUAAAUUUGCCCAUCCCAUAUAUGAAUUAUUUUUAAUUAAUACUGAAAUUUUCAGUUUAGGCAGUUGACACUAGGUUCUGCCAGAGUUCUAGGCAGAAUUGCAUAAGAUCUCAAGAUGUGUUUACUCCAUUUAUUCUUCCUUUUUGGAACCCUUUUUAAGUUCCAACCUCAGAUAGUCCUUGGACAUCCUAAACUGCACUUUUUAAUGUGGUUUAUCUUCAUGCCAGAAUUUCUAGAGGUCACAACUGUAUAUUUAUUUUUUUGUUUUUGUUUGUUGUUUACUUCAUGAAUGUGUGCAUAUAUGUGUCUAUAUUGUGUGUGUACAACUUGAUGAUAGAGUAUGUAAGUUAUUAACUUGUAUGUCAGUAAGGCUCAUCUUAAAGACAAUGAACAUUUUAAAUGAGAACUUGUUAGCCCAAAUGAUCCUAAUAGCAUGAAAUAUUUUCGAGGGAGGAAUAUGUUAUUUAAGGUAUAUGUUAAGCUUUUAUAACAAGGAGAAGUCAACAUAAAUAUAUAGAAUUUAUUUUUCUCUCAUUUAACGGUCAAGAAUUAGAUAUGCUUUACAGGGUUUAGCAGAGACCUUUUAGCUUUGCUGUUCCUUAGGAUGCUGCCCUUGCCUGCAUUGUUGAGAGUCACUGGUACUUCAUUUCAUUUCCAUAUUCAGUCAUUUUUAAUGAUAAACCCAAUCAUUUAUAAUGGCCAGACCUAGAAGUUGUGCACAUAAUUUUGGCUCACGUUUUAUUUUCAAGGACUUUGUUGUAUAGUCAGACCUAACUGCAAGUAAGGCUGGGAAAUAAGGUCUCUAAGCUGAGCUGCUGAGGGCUCAGCUGAAACCCAAGGAGCUCUAUUAUCCAAAAAGUAUAGGAGGAUGGAUAUUAGGGGAAAACAAGAAGUCUAUUCAGUUUGCCUCUUUGGCUACCCAAAUGUCCAUGUACCUCUUUCUCAUUCAUAAAACAUACCAUCUUCUCAAGGAUGAUAACCCAAAGUCACAUUCAUUGGGUAAAGUCCUCUAUAUCGGGUUUCUGUGUGGUUCAUCAUGAUGUGGUGACCAAUAAACUAAGAGACAAGUUUCCUAAUUUUCUUGACCUCUUGCUUCUUGUAUGAUGGUAUAAAGGACAAGGAAAAUUCCCAAUGGGAAAAAAAAGAAUGGGCCAUAUAUGAUAGUUCCUGUUCCUUACAAUAAUAGACUUCUUGCUCUGGCAGUGGAGUAAGGUCUUGCUAGGACCUUAAUUUUGCUUUCUGAGAUAAGCUCCCUUGUCAUUUGUCCUUCAUAGUCCCUGACCUUGCUCUUUGGGAAUUACUCUUGGUCUAUGAUUCUUUGUGACUGUAUCUAACAUGGGUGUUAGUGUACUCUUAUUGGAGACACCACUGCAUUCUCACCCUGCUUUCUAUUGGUGCAGAUUUGGCUCCCAGGGAUAGUCUUUGUUAGGCUUAUGGUAGUAUUUCCUAGUCGAGUUCCCUCCGAAAUGUAGGUUUCCAUUCUCUUUUUCUUCCUGUCAGUUAUAUGUGAAAAUACCACAGCCAAAGAUCUCAUUUUGUCAUAGUUGUUAAGCCUAUGCACUUAUUAAUUUACUAGUUAUUUUCCUCAGACUAUCCACCUCUCCCUCAAUUUGAUAACUGCCUUAGUGUAGUGGCUACUCUACACAUGCUCUAACAAAGCUUUAAAGUAAGCUGAAAUUUAUGAAGUUGAACAGCAAGUAAUAUAAUAACCUGUCAGAACAGAAUUCAUCACUCUUUAAGGAAGACCACAAAAUCCACACAUUAACAACAUAAUCAUAGUACCCUUAAAAUAUGUAUUUAUAUAAAACCUACUAGACAUGUGUGUAUGUAUGUGCACAUGUGUGUAUUCAACUAUUAGGCAUGCAAAGAAGCGGAGAAAAAUUAUUAAUGGAAACUGAUGUGGAAAUGAUAAUGAUCAUGAAAGUAGUUGGCAAAGAGCUUAAAAUAUCUAUUGUAAAUAUGCUCAAGGACUUAAAAGGAAAAUGUGAACAUAAUGAAAGAAAUUGAACAUAUAAAGAACCAUUGAACGUUCAGAAGCUAAAAAUAUCUGAAAUGUAAAACGACUUCAGCUAACAAGGGAAUAGUCAUUCAGAAGAAGUGGUUAAUAAAUAAAAAUCACUGCUAACUUCUCACUAGAAGGUAUGUAAGCCAGAAAAAUGGAAUGAUAUAUUUAAAGUGCUGAAAGGUGGGGAAAAAAAGUCAGUCUAAAAUUCUCUGCCCAGUGAAACAUUUUAAAAAACAGAGACAAAAUGACAUUUCCAGAUAAGCAAAAAUAGAGAGAAGUUGUCAGUAUACACGCACUAAAGAAAUUUUAAAAGAUGAUCUUCAGGCUGAAGGAAAAUCAUACUGGGUAAAAACAGAUUUACAUAAAGGAAAAAAGAAAUGUUAAGAAAUGGUAAAUAUGUGGGUCUGAAAUAUGUAGAAAUUAAAUCACACAUUUCCAAAUAACUCGUGGAUGAA
rnacentral:lncRNA from 1 species